AAGACACUUUAAUUUAAUGAAAAAAUUAAUUAAUGAUGAACUAUCAUGGAAUUUUUUAUUUUUAAUCCAGUUAGUAGCAUUGAACUAUUUUCAAAAGAAAAAUUCAGUUCUCUUUUAUUAACAGACCAAUUGGGUGCCAGCAGUCGCGGUCAUACCUAAUGUUCAGAUUUUUUUUAGAUAAUUUUUUUUAAAAAAGAUUUUUUUAUUAGUAAAAUAUAAAAAAAUCAUAACCAUUUUAAAAAUUUUUAAAUAAAAUUCUUAAUAAAAACUAGGAUUAGAUACCCUAUUAUUUUAGAACUCAUCUCUUUAUCUAAGCACUAAAAUAAUUAUUAUUAAAACUUAAAAAUUAUGGCGGUAAAUCAAAUUUUUAGGGGAACUUACCAGAUAAUUGAUAACCCUCAAGUGAUUCAACUUUAAUUAACAGCUUAUAUAUUGCCGUUGUGAUUUCUCUUAAGGAAAAAUCAUUAAAAUAAUUUAAUUUUAAUAACAGGUCAUAGUGUAGCAUAUAUUAAAGUCUUAAGGUGAGUUACAAUAUUUAUUUUUUUCAAAUAAAAAAUCAAUAACUUUUUUUAAGAUGGACUUAAAAGUAAUAUAAAAAUAUAUAUAAUAUGAAUUUCUUUUGAUUUGUGCACAAAUCGCCCGUCAUUCUCCUUAUUUCCUUUAAAGGAGACAAGUCGUAACAUAGUAGAGGUAACUGAAGUUGUCUCUU
rnacentral:ncRNA from 1 species